rnacentral:tRNA from 2 species
CGGGGUGUGGCGCAGUUGGUAGCGCGCCUGCUUUGGGAGCAGGAAGUCGCCGGUUCGAGUCCGGUCACCCCGACC